GACGAUUCCAGGUCACAAUAAGAACCAACGGAAUCUUCACAUCCAACAGUUGGAUAUUUUUCAAAAUCACAGGGAAUCGGUGCCGAUGAAAAUAUCAUCGUUUUAGUGACGAUUGUCCUAAUUAAUAGAAAAAUAAAUUCAAAUACAAGGUUCGAUGAUGAACUGGAAUGGAUUCCACCCAAUAACGAACUGAGAAAGAGAGAGAAAAAAAAUGUUUCGAUCAUUUUCUGUUUCCUGGUUGAUGAUCAAAGAACCAGAAGAAAAUGGAAGGAUGUUUAUCCUGAUGAUUUCGAUAAUGAUGCUUAUGAUGAUGAUGAUUAUUCUUUAUCACUGAAUAACCAUUGACGUUUCCAGUUUUCGAAGAUGCAGUUUAUCAAAAAAAAAAAAAUAAAAAAGAAAACACAAAAUCCGAAGCCUUAAAAUUGAACUUGGGAAAUUUUCGGUAAUAUUUUUCUUCUCGUUACACUUUAUCUUAGAGUUUUUUAUUAUUAUCCUUGGAGUUUUACUUUCUCAUUUUCGAUUUGUUAUUUUUUUAUUAUUAUUCCUUCUAAUAGGUAAUAAUAAUAUCGUUUAUGAACACACAAAGCUCAUAUAAAAAGGCGAGAAUAGAAUCUGAAAUUGUCUGUUUUCUUUAACUGAUGGAGAUUCACCAAAGAAUAACUCAUGAAAUUACUGAUGAAGAAGAUGAGAAGAUGAUUAUGAGGAUGAUAAUGAUGGAAGAUAAUUUUCACUCUUGUGUCAAUUCCUCGAGGAUCUAUUCAGUUCUAAUCAUUCAAACUGUUAUUUUUUCUUCUUCUCUUUUUUACCUUUUCCCCUGUUUAGUUUAUUUCAUCAACGAAAUGAAGAUGAACACAUCUUCUUCCAUUUAUCAUCUUGAUUCGCUGUAGGCUAGACUCAGAAUUCUGGGAGAUAACCUUCACCAUCCGCUCUAUUUCUCAGUAUCUUUUUUCUUCACCUUAAUCUUUUUCUUUUUUCUUCUGGUUUUCGACUCUUUAUUGAUCGUUUUUACUAUAUACCUUUUCUUUUUAUUCCCAAACUUUUCAUCUCUUUACUUAUUCUUGCUUCGAUUUACCUUCUAGUGUCUUUUCAAUCAACCAUUCGAAGAACGAGUUAAAUCAAAGUCUCAAUCCAACUUUUUAUUUCCAUUACAAUUUUCUGUUGAAACAGAAAAUAAAUAAACACAGUUGAUUGAAUCGAAGAUGAUAUAAUAUAAUAAAUCUACUUGUAAAUAUAAAUGAUAUUCUCAACAUGGAUUAUCAAUAGUAACCUAAUAGUUAUGGAAAACGGAAGAGGAAAAAUAUUCAAGUUUCUUGACACUCAGAAUGAAGACGAUGAUGAUGAUGGACAAGUUUUCUAAGAAGAAGGAGAAGAAAAAAGUUCUAAUCAUGGCAAUUGGUUUUCUCUUCUCUGUUCUGAGACUUAGAUUAUUGGGUGUCAAUUAUCAAGAUUAUGUCGACAAUCAUAAUGAUGAUUAUGAGGAUCACUUGAAUUGACGAUAAUGAUGUUCACCAAUUACAUUGAAAGGCCAUUGAAAAGGUUUAAUGUUUGCUCAUGAAAUCAGUAAGUUUGGUAUUUUGGUUACCUAGAUUAUUAUCAUUACCAAGACAAAUGAUCAUGAUUCUCAAGAACAACAUGAAGAUGGAAUAAUAAUAAUAUUCUAGGGGAAAUCCAAGUAAAAAAAGAGGACGAAAAGUAAAUUCGUUGAAGAUGAAUUAAAAUGAUGAAGAAAAAAGGAUGCGAUUGAUGAUCUUGAUGAAGAUGAAGAUAAGGAUGAGGAUGAGGAUGGAAAAGGCUGAAAAGUGGAUUCACUUCCUGAAGAUUUAAACCUCCUAAGAGGUUAUGGUGUACAUAAGAAGUAGAAGAAUCUAUUAACUUUGUUUUUCUUUUCUCUUUUAUUGGUGGUUAUCUCCUUGAUGGUGACUAUUUAAAUUUCAAUGAGAGAAAAAAAAAUCUAAAUGAAUUCGAACCUGAAAAUUGAAAUAUUAUCAGGAUCUCUUGGCAUUCUAAUAUUAAAGACUUUAUGGUUUGGACUGUUGAUUAUUUUCUCAUCUCAUGGAAAUUAAUUAUCAUCAAGUUCCUGUUCCUCUUGGAUGCAAACUCUAAUACUUAUGGAUUGAGUUUCUUGUCUAUUAUUAUGUUUGCCUUGAGAAAGAUUAUAUUGCCAAACGAAGCAAAGCCAAAUAUGAAUUUUGGGCAAAGUGAUGAGAAGGCAAAACAUUAUAAUCAUAAUGUUCAUCAUCUCGAUUGUGUGGAAAGUUAUUAUAAACAUGAUGGUAAAGAGAUGGAUUAUCAAGUCAAAUUAAGCAUCUUCGGGAAACAUUACAACGAUUAAUGUCAGUUCAUCAUAAACACACAUCGUUUCAACACGAAUCAAACAUCAUCAUAAUCAUCAUUAUGAUUCAGAAUUAUUAUUUUUUUCUUACAUAACUGUUAUCUACUUCAUUCCCACUCCCAACUUGCGCUGUUAUCACUCCCACCUCACCUUUACCACCCUCCAUGGAUCACAUCUCCAUCUAUUGAUCCACUUGCAAAGGAUUUUGAUAUAAUUUAUUCUGGUUCUUGGAAAACAUUUCAUGGGAAAAUUUUUUCUCUCAUCAACUAUUUAAUAUUACAAUUAGAACUCGAAAAGUUUGAAAAACUAUUUUAUUCAUGAAA